AGUGGCGGACGGGUGAGUAACGCGUGGGUAACCUGCCUCACACAGGGGGAGUAACAGUUGGAAACGACCGCUAAUACCGCAUAAGCCAACAGGGGCGCAUGCUCUGGUUGGAAAAGAUUUAUCGGUGUGAGAUGGACCCGCGUCUGAUUAGCCAGUUGGCAGGGUAACGGCCUACCAAAGCGACGAUCAGUAGCCGGCCUGAGAGGGUGAACGGCCACAUUGGGACUGGGACACGGCCCAAACUCCUACGGAAGGCAGCAG
rnacentral:rRNA from 1 species